GAUGAACGCUGACAGAAUGCUUAACACAUGCAAGUCAACUUGAACUUCGGUUUGGGUGGCGGACGGGUGAGUAACGCGUAAAGAACUUGCCUCACAGCUAGGGACAACAUUUGGAAACGAAUGCUAAUACCUGAUAUUAUGAUUUUAGGGCAUCCUAGAAUUAUGAAAGCUAUAUGCGCUGUGAGAGAGCUUUGCGUCCCAUUAGCUAGUUGGAGAGGUAACGGCUCACCAAGGCGAUGAUGGAUAGCCGGCCUGAGAGGGUGAACGGCCACAAGGGGACUGAGACACGGCCCUUACUCCUACGGGAGGCAACAGUGGGGAAUAUUGGACAAUGGACCAAGAGUCUGAUCCAGCAAUUCUGUGUGCACGAUGAAGUUUUUCGGAAUGUAAAGUGCUUUCAGUUGGGAAGAAAAAAAUGACGGUACCAACAGAAGAAGUGACGGCUAAAUACGUG
rnacentral:rRNA from 1 species